ensembl:lncRNA
CGCUAAACGAUGCACACCUGUAACUCACGUGACCCAUGGUUAUUAUUGAAACGAGAACGAGGGCGUCGUGCCUUUAUAAGACUGCGUUAAUGGUUCCGUGGAGUUAUCCCUUCCGUUGUUGUUCUUUGAUUGUUAAACAUGGCUUCAUUUGCAAAGGUGGUUGUGUGUGUCCUCAUUGCUUGUGUCUGUAAUGCAUUCGGUUUUCCGAAGAAAGAUGUGAACUUUAAGGCCUCUGCAGUUGACCGCCAAAGUGAUGAUGUGGUUGUCACCACAACACCCAAUCCCCACAACCAGACCACCUCUGCCCCUACUGAAGCUGGUGAUGGAGCAAGUGAAGAUGGAGCAAGUGAAGAUGAUGCAAGUGAAGAUGAUGCAGAUGAUGAUGAUGAUGCAAGUGAAGAUGCUGUGGCUACCACCCCAACACCAAAUCCCCCAACUACAUCUGACCACACUGCAGCUACCGAUGAUGCAAGUGAGGGUGCUGUGGCUGCCCAAACUGGAACUACUGUAUCCCAUACGACUGAAGUCUGAUUCGACUGCUCCUCUGGUCACAAUGACCUGUCUGGACUUUUUGCCUCUACAUGUUCACUGCAAUAAAGGACAGAUUUGUAUUUUUUUUUUAAUCAAAUGUUGUCUUGCCUUUUUCAAAUUGAGGCCUUGUCCUGUUUUGGUAGUGGAGAUAACUGACGCCUCUUUCCUAACGCACUACAUUUCUGGCAACUUAUAAUGCAUAGUGAACAUGUAAUAAUUCGGUGGUAUGAUCCCAGGAGAACAUUUUUAAGAAACAAAUCACAGAAUUGUGGUUCCUCGCCGUUUUUUUUUUAAUAUAAAUCGAGGCUUUCCUCAUAAUACCGCAAGAACAAAAAGGAAAUAAAAACUAAACGAGUCAAUUCCUCAAAAUGAUAUGAAUUGCUACUGCUGCACUCGUAAAACUUCUAACUAAACUGAAAUUAAAAACCAAACUGAAA